GUGAGUCAUCGAAUCUUUGAACGCACAUUGCGCCCUUCGGUAUUCCGUUGGGCAUGCCUGUUCGAGCGUCAUUAGAAACUUCAAGCUCAGCUUGGUGUUGGGUGCUUGUCCCCGCCCGCGGCGGACUCACCUCAAAUGCAUUGGCGGCCGGUAUGUUGGCUACAGCGCAGUACAACGCGUCUGGCGUCUUGAUAUACUGGUCCUCCAGAAGUCCUUCUUUGACUUGACCUCGGAUCAGGUAGGGAUACCCGCUGAACUUAAGCAUAUCAAUAAGCGGAGGA
rnacentral:misc_RNA from 1 species